GUAAAGGUGCAUGAGUGGUGUUUGGUUUGUUACGGGUGGUUGGCUGACUGCUUGCGCAGCAACGUCCACGCGUGCAUACCUCUUCAGUUUUGCGUCAAGGCUUGGUUUGUCUUGAGCAAUUUGUGGGUUUCCUGUGUUGCAUACCUAACCGAUGGUAAUGUGUGGGUUUACGAUGUCCCUUUUCGUCAUGCGCUGCUCACGCGGUGUGGGAUGAACCUCGAAGCGGUCUUUGCAAUCCACCUUGCCGUUGUCUCUCAACGAUGAUGUGGCUUGUGAAGCGUYGCUUGGUCUCUUGUAUACGGAACCUGAUGUGGGCAUGGGUCUUUCGAGAUCCUGAAUSUGCCCUUGUUAAGCGUUCUCGCUUCUCUAAAACGAUCGUCUUUCAUGUCUUGGCUUGUCCUUGCGUGGAAGGCUACGUCGA
rnacentral:misc_RNA from 1 species